rnacentral:rRNA from 1 species
CACCGGCGGCUCGAGUGGUGGCCACUUUUAUUGGGUCUAAAGCGUCCGUAGCCGGCUUGGCAAGUCCCCUGGGAAAUCUGGCGGCUUAACCGUCAGGCGUCCAGAGGAUACUGCCAGGCUUGGGACCGGGAGAGGUGAGAGGUACCUCAGGGGUAGGGGUGAAAUCUUAUGAUCCCUGAGGGACCACCAGUGGCGAAGGCGUCUCACUAGAACGGGUCCGGCGGUCAGGGACGAAAGCUGGGGGCACGAACCGG